GCCCGUCUAGCUCAGUCGGUAGAGCGCAAGGCUCUUAACCUUGUGGUCGUGGGUUCGAGUCCACGGUGGGCG
rnacentral:tRNA from 1 species